GACGAACGCUGGCGGCGUGCUUAACACAUGCAAGUCGAACGGGUCUGCCCUGUUUUUUGCGGGGUGGGUCAGUGGCGAACGGGUGAGUAACACGUGAGUAACCUGCCCCUCACUUCUGGAUAACCGCUUGAAAGGGUGGCUAAUACGGGGUGUUCUGGCUGUGCCGCAUGGUGUGGCUGGGAAAGAUUCACUUUUGUGGUGUUUUGGUGGGGGAUGGGCUCGCGGCCUAUCAGCUUGUUGGUGGGGUGAUGGCCUGCCAAGGCUUUGACGGGUAGCCGGCCUGAGAGGGUGGGCGGUCACACUGGGACUGAGAUACGGCCCAGACUCCUGCGGGAGGCAGCAGUGGGGGGUAUUGAGCAAUGGGCGGAAGCCUGAUGCAGCGACGUCGCGUGAGGGAUGGAGGCCUUCGGGUUGUGAACCUCUUUCGCCGGUGAAGAAGGUCCUGCUCUUUGUGGUGGGGUUGACGGUAGCCGGGUUAUGAAGCGCCGGCUAACUACGU
rnacentral:rRNA from 1 species